AAUGGUGCAAUCCAUAGUCGGCCAUUUAUAGAUGAAAAAAAACUGUCGCGUGAAGUUUUUAAAUUCUCUGGUUAUAAAAGAUAUUUAGCAAGUUUUAUUAAAGUUAAAUGGCAUUGUGCAUACUGCAAAACUCACAAAAGAUGACUUGCACGUUUUAAAUCGUCACUAUUUGGCAGUUGGUCAAAUGGAAAGGCACCAAAAGUGAAGAGAUCGCCCAAAGUACUUUAAUCAAGGUGGCCACGAAAUUUGUAAAUGCGAGAAAACAUCUCACAAACAACCCGUUGAGACAACAAGCUGAGCCAUUCAUGAAAUGUAAGUAAG